AUUGAACGCUGGCGGCAUGCUCUACACAUGCAAGUCGAACGGUAACAGGGAGCUUGCUCCGCUGACGAGUGGCGAACGGGUAAGUAAUGCGUCGGAACGUGUCGAGUAGUGGGGGAUAACGCAUCGAAAGGUGUGCUAAUACCGCAUACGUACUGAGGUAGAAAGUGGGGGACCUUCGGGCCUCACGCUAUUCGAGCGGCCGACGUCUGAUUAGCUAGUUGGGGAGGUAAAGGCUCACCAAGGCGACGAUCAGUAGCGGGUCUGAGAGGAUGAUCCGCCACACUGGGACUGAGACACGGCCCAGACUCCGACGGGAGGCAGCAGUGGGGAAUUUUGGACAAUGGGCGCAAGCCUGAUCCAGCCAUGCCGCGUGUCUGAAGAAGGCCUUCGGGUUGUAAAGGACUUUUGUCCGGGAGCAAAUGCCUGGUGUUAAUAGCACUGGGAGCUGAGAGUACCGGAAGAAUAAGCACCGGCUAACUACGUGCCAGCCGCCGCGGUAAAAC
rnacentral:rRNA from 1 species